rnacentral:rRNA from 1 species
AUAGCGUAUAUUUAAGUUGUUGCAGUUAAAAAGCUCGUAGUUGGAUCUUGGGUCGGGGGGAGCGGUCCGCCCCUCGUGGGUGUGCACUGGUCCACCCGACCUUUCUGCCGGGGACGCGCUCCUGGCCUUCGUUGGUCGGGACGCGGAGUCGGCGAUGUUACUUUGAAAAAAUUAGAGUGCUCAAAGCAAGCCUAUGCUCUGAAUACAUUAGCAUGGAAUAACGUGAUAGGACUCUGGUCCUGUUGUGUUGGUCUUCGGGACCGGAGUAAUGAUUAAUAGGGACAGUUGGGGGCAUUCGUAUUUCAUUGUCAGAGGUGAAAUUCUUGGAUUUAUGAAAGACGAACUUCUG